AGGUUGAAAUCAGCCAAGGACGUGACAUACUGUCUCAUAAAAUUUGUCCACCAGUUCGAAGCACCAAAAAGGAUUCUCAGUGACCAAGGCAAAGAAUUUGUCAAUUCUCUCAACAGAAGGGUAUGCAGAUUGUUAAACAUUAAAAGAAGCCUCUGCUCGUUCUAUCACCCACAAACAAAUGGCUUGGCGGAGAGAAUGAAUGGCACCAUUCAGAGAGGCCUCUGUAAGGUUGUUGGUGACCAUCCAGAAUCAUGGGAUGAGUAUCUGGAUGCUGUGAUGUUUGGACUCAGAACUAA